AUUGAACGCUGGCGGCAGGCCUAACACAUGCAAGUCGAACGAGUGGCGGACGGGUGAGCAAUGUCGGGGAAACUGCCUGAUGGAGGGGGAUAACUACUGGAAACGGUAGAUAAUACCGCAUACGAUCGGAUGGGCCCAGAUGGGAUUAGCUAGUAGGUGGGGUAAAGGCAAACCUAGGCGAAGAUCCCUAGCUGGUCUGAGAGGAUGACCAGCCACACUGGAACUGAGACACGGUCCAGACUCCUACGGGAGGCAGCAGUGGGGAAUAUUGCACAAUGGGCGCAAGCCUGAUGCAGCCAUGCCGCGUGUAUGAAGAAGGCCUUCGGGUUGUAAAGUACUUUCAGCGGGGAGGCGUUACCCGCAGAAGAAGCACCGGCUAACUCCGUGCCAGCAGCCGCGGUAAUUC
rnacentral:rRNA from 1 species